AGAGGAUAAGGUUGUUAGUUGGCAUCAGUACAGGCUGUUCUCAAGCCAAGGCCAAGUGAGUGCCCUUAAAAUGCCAGACAGAGAGGAGGGAGAAAGGGUUUUGGCAGAUAUCUUGUUAAAUUAAAUCUCUAAACAAACACAACGAUAAAUUCCACUUGAUGAUAAGUGACGCAUCUACAGCAAACUCCAGAAAGGUUGUUCGUCAAGCAAGCAGACCACGAAUAAUUAAACUCUAAACUGGACACACAAAGAUCCCA
rnacentral:lncRNA from 13 species